CCCGUGUCUAUCGUACCUUGUUGCUUCGGCGGGCCCGCCGUUUCGACGGCCGCCGGGGAGGCCUUGCGCCCCCGGGCCCGCGCCCGCCGAAGACCCCAACAUGAACGCUGUUCUGAAAGUAUGCAGUCUGAGUUGAUUAUCGUAAUCAGUUAAAACUUUCAACAACGGAUCUCUUGGUUCCGGCAUCGAUGAAGAACGCAGCGAAAUGCGAUAAGUAAUGUGAAUUGCAGAAUUCAGUGAAUCAUCGAGUCUUUGAACGCACAUUGCGCCCCCUGGUAUUCCGGGGGGCAUGCCUGUCCGAGCGUCAUUGCUGCCCUCAAGCACGGCUUGUGUGUUGGGCCCCCGUCCCCCUCUCCCGGGGGACGGGCCCGAAAGGCAGCGGCGGCACCGCGUCCGGUCCUCGAGCGUAUGGGGCUUUGUCACCUGCUCUGUAGGCCCGGCCGGCGCCAGCCGACACCCAACUUUAUUUUUCUAAGGUUGACCUCGGAUCAGGUAGGGAUACCC
rnacentral:rRNA from 1 species